CAGUUAUUUAGUCCGUUUGGCCAGAUCUUGUUGACUUCAAGGUCGUCAUCUCCAAGAUCCAGUUCUUUGUCUGAGAUCACGCCAGAGGACUUGGCGGAAGCAACACAUGAUCAGGGAAAAGGGAAGUGGCCUUCAUCAUUAGCAUCUGAGAAACGUUCAAGAUCAUAGCUAGAUUUUGUGCAGUUUACAGCUUGGUGCAAAUUACGUGUCUAUUUUACAUGCAAAGCACUUGGUGGAAGCAACCUGAAGAGCCCAGUUGCCUUGUUCUAUGUUGUUAUACUUCUUUAUGCUAUCUCAAAUAAUUCAUCACAUCAUAUAAUUUUUGUGAUUGUUCAAAUCAUACAUAUCAUAUCUCGUUUGGGUUAUUGAAAGCAGCGGGAAUAGAGUUUGUGGUCAACCUGAAUUUUUCUUGAUU